rnacentral:rRNA from 1 species
GGGGAUUUUGGCCAAUGGGCGAAAGCCUGAUCCAGCCUUCCGCGUGCAGGAUGAAGGCCCUCGGGUUGUAAACUGCUUUUGUACAGAACGAAAAGGUUUCUAUUAAUACUAGGAGCUCAUGACGGUACUGUAAGAAUAAGCACCGGCUAACUACGUGCCAGCAGCCGCGGUAAUACGUAGGGUGCAAGCGUUAAUCGGAAUUACUGGGCGUAAAGCGUGCGCAGGCGGUUAUAUAAGUCAGAUGUGAAAUCCCCGGGCUCAACCUGGGAACUGCAUUUGAGACUGUAUAGCUAGAGUACGGUAGAGGGGGAUGGAAUUCCGCGUGUAGCAGUGAAAUGCGUAGAUAUGCGGAGGAACACCGAUGGCGAAGGCAAUCCCCUGGACCUGUACUGACGCUCAUGCACGAAAGCGUGGGGAGCAAACAGGAUUAGAUACCCUGGUAGUCCACGCCCUAAACGAUGUCAACUGGUUGUUGGGUCUUAACUGACUCAGUAACGAAGCUAACGCGUGAAGUUGACCGCCUGGGGAGUACGGCCGCAAGGUUGAAACUCAAAUGAAUUUGACGG